GAGAGUUUGUCCGGUGGCCGAGGUAGACGGAGGUGCAGUGAGAACCCCGGCGGUAGCACGAUGGGAGACUCCAAAGUGAAAGUGGCGGUACGGGUCCGGCCAAUGAACCGACGAGAAAUUGACUUACAUACCAAAUGUGUGGUGGAUGUUGAAGCGAACAAAGUUAUUCUGAAUCCUGUAAAUACAAAUCUUUCCAAAGGAGAUGCCCGGUAAGUUAUGAAGCAAUACCAUAUUCACUGAAAUCAUCACUGGCUACUGGACAAAUGAGGGUGCUCCUAAAGAUACAUGGCUACCAGGAGGCUGUUCCCAGGCUGACAAUGAGUGAGGGAUGUCAGGAGUGCUGCAGAUAGCUAGGGGGACAGUGGGGACUCAUGACAUGUGGGCACUAAGGGCUGAAGUGAUGAGGUGGACUUUAAGCAGCUGGUGCUGGCUGAUGGACCAGGCAGGUGGGCAGCAGGAGAGGGCAGGAAGGGAGCCUGUGCACUGACUUAUCCUGGUGGCUUUUACUUUGGCCAUUCCAGGGGCUGCCUUUCCUAUAGCCCUCAGAGGGAUGUUUCCUUUAAACACAGGCAGACUGGAGACCAUCUAACUUAAUUACUGUGCUCUGUUAACUCUUUGAGGCAUACCUUGACUGUCAGGCUAAGGAUGGAUAUUUCAGCCUCACUUGUGGAUUUGGGCAAAUAUAUGAAACAAAAGAGAAAGAGGGGAAAAGUGAAUUGGGAGAGAGUAAUGAGAUUAUGUUUUUCUAAAAAAAUUGGAGUGAAAUUAAUUAGAUCAAAUAAGCUGGGCUCAGAUUAUAGCAAGUAGACAAGGAGAUUUACAUUGUAGUCCAGGCUAGCCUUGAACUUACAGUUUUCUGCUAUCUCUUUGAGUACUGGAAUUAUAGGUGUAUGCCACCACACCUAUCUCUGCUUGUAGUUUUUUGAUAAUUAUGAGGUGAAUUAGAAAAAAAUGGCAAUGUAGACAGCAGAGUAAAAUAGGAAAGAAGGGUUUUAUGGGAGACAUCUCUAUAGGGAUGCUGUUGUGCUGACCCUUGACGUAGGUCAGGAGGGGAGACUUUCUGCUCUGGUGCCCAUGCAAAGUAUGUACUUUAACUAUUGUGAUAAUGUGGCUGUGGCACUUCAUGGUGGUCUUUUGGCUUGAGUUCUAAGGAGUGCUGGACUUGGGUUCAGACGUUCUGAAUUGAAUCCUUCCAUAGCUGUAACUGUAGUUUCCCUUCCUUGCCCGCUUAGGGCUUUGUUUUGUAGUCAUAGCUAUCCUGGAACUCAUAGAAAUCUCGCCCUGGCUUCCUGAGUGGUUAGGUUACAGGUGUUAGCCAUCAUGCCUGGCCUGUAGCUAUUUAUUUUUAACUUAUUUGAGGCAAUCUCUAUGAUAUCAGAUUUACCUAUCUCAUAGAAUUAUUUUCCUUUAAAGAUCAAAUUAGUGUUUGGGUAAGCAUUUUGUAGUGUUCUGCAAAUGUUUAUUGCUACUGAUGGUGAAGAUAUGACUUAGUGAUAUCUUUAGUGAUAAGGAUUUCUGUUACAUAUUGUUACCAGUUUCCUCAGAAGCACAGCAGCUUCAUACAGCAGUCAUCAAUUUGUGUGGUCCAGGACACCAGUCAGGGCACAGUGGGAUUAUGGCUUGCUCUGAUCCAUGCUAUGUGGGAUCUGGCUAGAAGACUUGAACACAGGGUUUGGAAUCAUCUGGGAGGGAGUGGCUUGGUCAUCAGGCCUAGUAGUUCAUAUCCCCUGUUGAAUGGAGGUGCCUCUGAGGAUAUAUGCAGGACAGCAAUUCAUAAUCCUGGUAACCAGUUCUAAAAUAUGUGUCCCAAAGGAAACCAAGCCAGGAGGAAGCAUAUCUGUGUCCAUUGUGUGGGCCAUACAGGUUAAUUCUAUCACAUUUUCCUGUUCAAGGAUAGUGUAAGACUCUAGAACCCAUUUAAGUUUUUUUGUAUUUAUUUAUGGUAUGUGUAGGUGUGCAUGGGUAUGCAUGCACAUAGAGGUCAGAAGUCAAAAACCAGCUGGAGUUGGUUCUUUCCUUCUUCCAUGUGGUUCCCAGGAAUUGAACCUAGGUCACCAGGUUUGGUGGCAGGUGCUCUUGCCCAGUAGCAUCUCUGGUUUAGAGAAGCAUUCAGCUCUGAAGCCUUAGUUUGUUAUGGGACAGGUAGAUACAGCCACUGUCUUUUGGAGCAGUCUGUCGGAUUGUGGGAUGUAGCUGCCUGAGAAGGUGACUAAAAAUAGAGGGAGCACACAGAACUUAAAACACCAGGCUGGAGUUAUGGCCCAGUGGUUGAGAACACCAACUGCUCUUCCAGAGGUCCUGAGUUCAAUUCCCAGCCACCACAUGGUGGCUCACAACUAUCUAUAUUGAUAUCUGAUGCCCUUUUCUGGUGUGUCUGAAGACAGCUACAGUGUGCUCAUAUACGUAAAAUAAAUAAAUCUUAGGAAAAAAACCUCACCUUCUUAAAAAACAAACAAACAAACAAACAAACAAACAAACAAACACCCUUGAGGGCUUCCAGUGUUGCAGGUUUGUAAAAGAAGGAGCACUUUCUGAUUAUAUAGAUUAUUUUGGAUGCUUCUUUUCUCUCAUAUAGUAAGAAUAGAAAUUGGAUAUUACUAUUGUAAGAAGGAUUAAAUAUGAUUAUAUGUAAUGGUUUUUAGUCAAGUAAAGUUAAGAAACUUGACUUUUGAGACAGUGCAUCCCUACAUCACUAUGUAGCCCAGGCUGGCCUUGAAGUAAUUACUGAUCUUCCUGCCCCUCUUUCAGAGUGCUGAGACUGCAGGCAUAUGCCAUCACACCCAGCUUUGAAACAUAGACUUUUAAAUAACAAAUUUUCAUUGAAGCAUAUACAUGUACAGAAAAGUGUACAACUUGGUGAGUUUUUAUGACUUGGAUAUCCUUCUACAAUUGGCAUCAUGUAAAGGAAAAAAGCCAGUGUAUUACUGCUUACCUAAUGAAAGUGCUUGCUACCAAGCCUGCUGACCUGAAACCAUGGUAGAAGGAGAGAACUGACUCCUGAAAGAUGUUCCCUGACCUUCACCUGUGAAAGAACAGCAAAUUAAG
rnacentral:lncRNA from 1 species